UGGUAGAACCUGCUGAUACUGUAGUGUACGGGGGAAUCAGGGUUCGAUUCCGGAGAGGGAGCCUGAGAAACGGCUACCACAUCCAAGGAAGGCAGCAGGCGCGCAAAUUACCCAAUCCAAACACUGGGAGGUGGUGACGAGAAAUACCAGGUCGUUCCCACAAGGAUUCGACACUGGAAUGAAUGUAAUUUAAAAAAUUCAAUGAGUAGCAACUGGAGGGCAAGUCUGGUGCCAGCAGCCGCGGUAAUUCCAGCUCCAGUAGUGUAUCCCAAAGUUGCUGCGGUUAAAACGCUCGUAGUUGGACAAUAGAGUAACUCGGUGCGGGCGGGGAGUGUUCAUACGCUGUUCUUUUGCGAUUUUUCUUAUGACUGAUCGUUUGAGGGCAUGUAUGUACCGCUUGUCGACCUUGAUGCUGUCGGUUGCUCAAAUUAUUUUCUGGAAACAUCUUAUGGCCUUAACUGUGCCGUAGGAUGUGUUCUUGCAUAACCGUGCCUGGAAUAAAUUACAGAGUGGCCUUAAAGCAAGCCUUAUGCCUUGGAAUGUUAAUAGCAUCGAACCGAAAUGUUUUGUGAAAUAGCAGUGCCCGGUGUCUCUCUCGGGGCGCCGGUAUUGUAGCACCAACCACGAAGCAGAGCAUUGGUUGCUGUUUCGGGUGAUGAUUAAGAGGGGCAUUUGGGGGGCAUUAGUAUUUGGACGCGAGAAGUGAAAUUCUUGGACCGUCCAAGGGACUAACAAGUGCGAAAGCAUUUGCCAAGUUUGUUCCCUUUAAUCAAGAACGAAAGUGAGAGGAUCGAAGACGAUCAGAUACCGUCCUAGUUCUCACCGUAAAACUAUGCCAACCCGGGAUCAGUUCGGAUUAUUAUUAGGAUCCAGGUUGGUCCCCCUGGGAAACCUUGAGAUUUUAGGUUCCGGGGGGAGUAUGGUUGCAAGGCUGAAACUUAAAGGAAUUGACGGAAGGGCACCACAGGAGUGGAGCCUUGCGGCUCCAAUUUGACUCAACACGGGAAAACUCACCUGGGUCCGGGACAUCGAUAGGAUUGACAGACUAAUAAGAUUCUUUCCAUGAAACCGUGGGUGGUGGUGCAUGGCCGUUCUUAAGUUCGUGGAGGGAUCUGUCAGGUUGAUUCCGGUAACGAACGAGAACCACGAUCUCAAUUUAGGUGUUUGGAAGAACGGCUUAGGAGUUGGUGUGUUUAACUUGGUGAAGACAUGCUGGUUCCGACUUUCGCUGUAUCAGCGGAUAAUAUGCGCAGUAAUGUGCAUUCCUAUGGAGAGACAGCCGGAUAUUAAACCGGAGGAAGCGUGGCAAUAACAGGUCUGUGAUGCCCUUCGAUGUUCAGGGCUGCACGCGCGCUACAAUGAUAACGACAGCGAGUGUCCUGGACUGAAAAGUUCUGGGGAAUCUUGUAAAUCGUUAUCGUGAUGGGGAUUGUGCAUUGUAAUUGUUGCACAUGAAAUAGGAAUUCCUUGUAUUUGCAACUCAUUCAGGUUGCGAAGAAUCAGUCUCUGCCCUUUGUACACACCGCCCGUCGCUACUACCGAGUGAAUGGUGUCAUGAUGUCUUGGGACUGGACGUUGACGGUAGUGCAAACUACGGUUGAAUGCUAGAGCAAGACAAAGACCCAAAGAGCGGCCCCCA
rnacentral:rRNA from 1 species